rnacentral:rRNA from 2 species
CACCGCGGUUACACGAAAGGCCCAAGUUGACAGCCAUCGGCGUAAAGCGUGGUUAGGGUCCUACCAAGAACUAAAGUCGAACUCCUUCAAGACCGUUUAACGUGUUCGAAACGGAGAAGCACAGCUACGAAAGUGACUUUACACACCUGACUCCACGAAAGCUAAGGCA